rnacentral:rRNA from 1 species
CAAUGGAGAGUUUGAUCCUGGCUCAGGACGAACGCUGGCGGCGUGCUUAACACAUGCAAGUCAAGGAGAACGUUCCGCUUGCGGAACUAUUAAACUGGCGAACGGGUGAGUAACGCGUAGACA